GGACCGGAGCCUGCAGGGUCAAGAUCUUCGCUCUGGACCUGGGAGGCUCCAUUGCUAACUGCGGGAGGAAGACGCGCUGCAGAGGAGAAACGCUGGCGCGGAAAGAUCCUCGGUGAUCCCGAGCACAGGUUCUCCCAAAGGUCAGCGGGCUGCGGAGGACCCGCGAGCCGGAGGCUUGGACCGCAGAAGAGGCGCAAAGCAGCCCAGCCCAAACCAAGCGGUUCAAGAGCCAGAAGGAAACAACUAAAUCAGCUUUCUUGGAGGUUCCAGCGACUCACCACCCGUCCCACUUGUCACUGUAGACCUCUGCCUUUGACCAGGUGUGGUGCCUGCAGAGGCCCCUUGUACCUUGCCACUAGUGACUCGUUUUGUCUGCACCAAUGUGGUAAGUCAGCACUGGCUCUGAACUUUUCUUUCAUUGUGUUCACUUCUCAGCUGUUUAUUCUCAGUUUGGGAGCUGGGUUUUGUCACCAGUUUCCAUUUUGUGUCAUCUUUGGUGCAAUCAGGCUAUUCCCUGUCAUCCCUUUUUACUCUGUUUGUGUGGUCCAUUUAGAAGUGUUUGUCACAAGGAGCAUCACAGGGCAGAACACAAGACACGAAGAGGCCCUCUAAGUUUGUUCGAGCUGACCUCAAAGACCAGUAAGUUUGUGGAUCUCCUUGAACUGGUGUCCAUUUGGAAAACUCUGCGUGGGUUAAAACCAGAUAGGAUUUUCCCUCUUCCUUGAGUUUUCAUGCUGGGAUCUUGACUUUGAUCCAGACAGAGUGUUUCUGUGGUUUCAGCCUGCUGGGGAACAAGAUUGUUGGGUCUGAGUUCAGAAGUGGCCAACUGUAAGCUGGGGGACAUGAUACACAAGGUGCACAGUUAUUACAUUCCUACUGAUGGUUGCCAGCUCUUGUAGGGUGUUCUAAGUCUAGAUCCCCUAUUCACCUAGCAAACAUUGCUUCUUAUGUGCACAGUACUAACUCAUGUACCUUACUAAAUAGCAUAACUUCAAGGAUGGUCUGGCCCUUUAAUGGCCACUCUGGGGAACAUUUGAACAAAUUGUUGCUUAGAAAGGCACCUUGAAAAACAGAAAUAAGUAGGAUUUCUUAGGACCAACUAGGUGGCAGUUUUUGAUUAGUACUUAGGGGCUUCCAAAUAAAACUGUGGAUCAAAAAUUUCUUGCCUACA
rnacentral:lncRNA from 1 species